UACGUAGGGUGCGAGCGUUGUCCGGAAUUACUGGGCGUAAAGAGCUCGUAGGUGGUUUGUCGCGUUGUCCGUGAAAACUCACAACUCAAUUGUGGGCGUGCGGGCGAUACGGGCAGACUGGAGUACUGCAGGGGAGACUGGAAUUCCUGGUGUAGCGGUGGAAUGCGCAGAUAUCAGGAGGAACACCGGUGGCGAAGGCGGGUCUCUGGGCCGAUAUCGACGCUGAGGAGCGAAAGCGUGGGGAGCGAACAGG
rnacentral:rRNA from 1 species